GAUGAACGCUGGCGGCGUGCCUAAUACAUGCAAGUCGAGCGAACGGACGAGAAGCUUGCUUCUCUGAUGUUAGCGGCGGACGGGUGAGUAACACGUGGAUAACCUACCUAUAAGACUGGGAUAACUUCGGGAAACCGGAGCUAAUACCGGAUAAUAUUUUGAACCGCAUGGUUCAAAAGUGAAAGACGGUCUUGCUGUCACUUAUAGAUGGAUCCGCGCUGCAUUAGCUAGUUGGUAAGGUAACGGCUUACCAAGGCAACGAUGCAUAGCCGACCUGAGAGGGUGAUCGGCCACACUGGAACUGAGAUACGGUCCAGACUCCUACGGGAGGCAGCAGUAGGGAAUCUUCCGCAAUGGGCGAAAGCCUGACGGAGCAACGCCGCGUGAGUGAUGAAGGUCUUCGAAUCGUAAAACUCUGUUAUUAGGGAAGAACAUAUGUGUAAGUAACUGUGCACAUCUUGACGGUACCUAAUCAGAAAGCCACGGCUAACUACGUG
rnacentral:rRNA from 1 species